rnacentral:rRNA from 1 species
UACGAAGGGGGCUAGCGUUGCUCGGAAUCACUGGGCGUAAAGCGCACGUAGGCGGAUUGUUAAGUCAGGGGUGAAAUCCUGGAGCUCAACUCCAGAACUGCCUUUGAUGCUGGGGAUCUCGAGUCCGGAAGAGGUGAGUGGAACUCCGAGUGUAGAGGUGAAAUUCGUAGAUAUUCGGAAGAACACCAGUGGCGAAGGCGGCUCACUGGUCCGGUACUGACGCUGAGGUGCGAAAGCGUGGGGAGCAAACAGG